rnacentral:lncRNA from 1 species
UGGAGCACAAACUGGGAGAGAAGUGCUGCUCUGUGGUGAGCUGUGGUGUCAUUGCUGUACUGAGGGUUUAUUCUGUGAACUGAAAGGAAGACAACACUCCUGAUCUUCUCCAUCCUCAUAAACAGCAAGAUUUCAGGAUGGCAUGAUGAGAUUCCAAAACAUCAAAUCCGGAAAGGAUGGGAAUCAGCUGAUUUCUUCUUGAGAUAACACUGAGGAAGAGCAUUACUGCAUGUCUGAUGGAGAACAGCAGACAAGUGAGAAAGUCAAAGGGUGAACAAGAAGUGCAGAAUUUCAUCACAAAAGCUGCACAUUGCAGAGGGAUUGACACCCAGAGAAACAAGCGGAGUUAAACAGGAUUUGACAGGUUGCAGAAAAGAGAGAGUGAACAAGAUGCAAACAGUGAGCAGCAACUACUUAUUAUUUUACUGGUCACCACAACACAUUAAAACUUUCAAAGGCUGUGAAAUUAAUUGCAUG